UUGGGCCCAGGAGUAAACAGGAU
rnacentral:miRNA from 1 species